UCUAGAACGUAUUGAUCGCGUCUAAAGCAGCUGGAGUCAGCUCAGACAGUAACGUCGGGGCGACCGCAGGGAAAACACACGUGUCGCGGUGUGCGGAAUUUCAGUCGAGUUUUCGAACGUGUUACUUUCGUGAAAAAGAAAAAUUAUUUAUUUUAUAUUUAACGAUAAAUAAGGUGGAAGUAUGUGGGGGAGAGAUAGAAGAAGAAAAUAUUAUUUAUAAAUUAAAUAUAUGUAUAUAUAUUUUUUGUUUGUUUGACCGUACGAAGAAAGUGUCGGUGGUAAUAGAAAAUAAAACUGCGAUCGUACAUGUUUCGUUAGGGAUGAAAGACAAAGAAGGGAAGUUACAAGGCUUACAAAUACGAUGCUAUUGAAACGUUUCGUUUCGUUCGAGAGUAUUGUUAUGACAAGGACAACAAUAAUAACACAAACGAUUACAACACGAUUACGUCGAAAGUGUACAAGAAACGGAAACAAUGAAAAUCUUAGUAAUAUUAAAAAAGAAUCUUUAUUAAAAAUAAAUAAAUAAAUAAAUUUGGA